rnacentral:rRNA from 1 species
CGAAGGAUGCAAGCGUUAUCCGGAUUCAUUGGGCUUAAAGGGAGCGUAGGCGGCCUUAUAAGUCAGUGGUGAAAUCUUUGGGCUUAACCCAAAAAUUGCCAUUGAUACUGUAGGGCUUGAGUACAGUUGCUGUGGGCGGAAUAUGACAUGUAGUGGUGAAAUACAUAGAGAUGUCAUAGAACACCGAUUGCGAAGGCAGCUCACAAAACUGUAACUGACGCUGAGGCUCGAAAGUGCGGGGAUCAAACAGGAUUAGAUACCCUGGUAGUCCGCACUGUAAACGAUGAUUACUCGCUGCUGGAAGGUAACUUUCAGUGGCUUAGCGAAAGCGAUAAGUAAUACCACCUGGGGAGUACGCCGGCAACGGUG